CGGAAGUGUAGAGAUGAAAGGGGGAGAGGUGUGGGAGAGGGCUCGUGAGGUUAGGAGGCUCUUAGCUACAUGGAGCUCCCUGACACCUGGGCAUCUCUGCUGGUCAAGCUCCGACAAACAAGCCCUCUCCCCGGCAAACAACCCCUCACUUGGCCCCUUGCCAACCGGUUGCUCUUGUUGCAUUCAUCCUCUUUCUGGAUACAAUUCACUACACAGUGAAGCUUCAAACUACACCUUCAAAUAUUACCCCCAAUUCACCAACAAUUCAGACUGUAUCCAGGAAUCAAAAUUGGAGUACAUUUGUCAUUUUUCAACUUGUAAUUCCUCCCAGACCGGCCACACAGAUAAAAUUCAGCCGCAUCCAGUUUACAGGAACAGCAACUAUAACAAGGCUCGGAAUGCUGAUGGGGGCUCGGCCAGCAUGGACAGGAGGGCUGGUAAUUGUUCUCAUUUAGGAAGGCACAAUGUUAUCGAUCCCAGCAGUAUUAGAGAGGGGGGUGAUGAUAGCUGUUUGGCUGGGUGUAUUAGGUGCAGGGAUAGGGGGACGAGGAGUGCGGGAGAUGAGGAGGAGGGGAAGGAAACGUACAGAUGUAGCUCACCGGCAGUGAUUAACCCCAAUACCUGGGCGCACCAAUAUUGGUGUGGAUUCCCUGUCAGUGAGGUGAAAUCAGUGUAUUACCACGCCAGAAUUAUAGAUAAGAAGAGGGAGGGGAAUGAUGGACGAGGAGGAGGGGUGAACCAAGGCUACAAACACAUUAAUUUAUCUAAUUAUGCGGAUAAUGAUUUGGCUUUUCCGAUUCAGACGCGCCUAUGUAAGGCUGAUAAUGAGCUUCCGCAGGGGAAAUCAGCACCAGUAACCAGAGGGCAGAGCAGCCAAACCCGGGGAGAAAGCAGGGAGGUUGCCGGUGGUUGCUUUAGUUGUUUGGACAGAAUAGAAAUGGGGGGUGGAUAUUUAGCCGAGUUUAUGGUCCCGCAGGGAGUCAUAGCUCAGAGGAAUCUCCCCAUCCAAUUUCCCCCCAUCAGCAUCACAGAGGCGUCCGGACAACGAUUUCUAUCCAACAAAAGCGCAAUUCCCAAAAUUGCAUCAAAAUGUUCUGGACUGGUGCUCAAUACGCCCCCUCAAACACAAACAGCUGAUUAUUCAGAAAGUGGAAAACUAUACAAACUGC
rnacentral:lncRNA from 1 species